rnacentral:rRNA from 1 species
CUCCUGAAGGAACGUUAAAGACGAUGACGUUGAUAGGUCGGGUGUGUAAGCGCAGCGAUGCGUUGAGCUAACCGAUACUAAUGAACCGUGAGGCUUAACCUUACAACGCCGAAGGUGUUU